rnacentral:rRNA from 1 species
CGAGCACGCGCGUGUGGCAUAUCAAUAAGCGGAGGAAAAGAAACUAACAAGGAUUCCCUUAGUAACGGCGAGUGAAGCGGGAAGAGCUCAAAUUUGAAAUCUUCAAGGUUCUACCUUGACGAAUUGUAGUUUAUAGAAGUGUUUUCUGUUAGUGGAGUGGCAAAAGUUCUUUGGAAUAGGACAUCAUAGAGGGUGAGAAUCCCGUAUUUGGUCAUUCCUCCUAGCGUUGUGAUACACUUUCAACGAGUCGGAUUGUUUGGGAAUGCAGUCCAAAAUGGGUGGUAAAUUUCAUCUAAAGCUAAAUAUUGGCGAGAGACCGAUAGCGAACAAGUACCGUGAGGGAAAGAUGAAAAGAACUUUGAGAAGAGAGUUAAACAGUACGUGAAAUUGUCAAAAGGGAAGCGUUUGACACCAGUGUUGUUUUUCCGAAAGUCAAUUACGAAUGUUUUAGUUUUUGAGGAGUUAUGACUUCAUCGGCUUGCUCCUUUCUUUAUGAAACUUUCUUAAUGCACUUUUCGGUUAACAAGUCAACAUCAAUUUCUUUUGUUGUAAAAGGGUAUGAGGAAGGUGGCUUUCUUUUCGGAGAAAGUGUUUAUAGCCUUGUGCCUCUGCAAUCGGAGAGAUUGAGGUCUGCAGCGUAGAUCCUUCGGGGUUAGAUACAUUUGUGCUAAGUUAUAGCUUUUCAUAGACAACUUGUUGACUAUGAUUAGUCAUUGUAGCUUACUCGCUUACUGCUAUUUUACCUACGCUUAGGAUGUUGAGCGCAUGUCUCUCUCU